AAUAAAUACGUGUACUCACUGUAAAUAUGGACCGACAAGAAUAUGUGGGCUUUAGGUGGGCAUUCUGUGAGUUGUAGGUUGCCCAUGAAGGAAGGACCUAUAGAUAUUU